CCUACGGGAGGCAGCAGUGGGGAAUAUUGGGCAAUGGGCGCAAGCCUGACCCAGCAACGCCGCGUGAAGGAAGAAGGCUCUCGGGUUGUAAACUUCUUUUAUCAGGGACGAAGCAAGUGACGGUACCUGAUGAAUAAGCCACGGCUAACUACGUGCCAGCCGCCGCGGUAAUACGUAGGUGGCAAGCGUUAUCCGGAUUUACUGGGUGUAAAGGGCGUGUAGGCGGGACAGCAAGUCAGAUGGGAAAACCAUGGGCUCAACCUGUGGCCUGCAGUUGAAACUGUUGUUCUUGAGUACUGGAGAGGCAGACGGAAUUCCUAGUGUAGCGGUGAAAUGCGUAGAUAUUAGGAGGAACACCAGUGGCGAAGGCGAUCUGCUGGACAGCAACUGACGCUGAGGCGCGAAAGCGUGGGGAGCAAACAGGAUUAGAUACCCUUGUAGUC
rnacentral:rRNA from 1 species